AAAGCUUUCUUGACUUUUCUUUCCUCCAGCAGAGCUCCCUGCCCAGUCUAAGCACAAACUUCAUUGUACUCUCAAAAUUCCCAAAUUGCCACAGAGAAAGCAAUGGCUAGUUAUCGUCACCUCAAUCUGGAACGGUGCUCCACUCUCUACAAUUUCCUUUUAUCUUCAUUGCUUUCAAUGCCCUAUUAUCCCUUAAAAAUAAGUUUUUUUCAGUUUCUUCAUUUUUUUCUAGUUGUGGAAAAGAGAUCAUUGGCCUGUCAUGAUCUUCUACGUCCUCCUCAGAAGUGGAAGUCCUCGGAUACUUCUCAAGCGUUAAAAGAAGCAUUACUAGUUCCUAUUUUUACCAACUGUGAACCAGGCCCACAUGCAGAAAGGGA
rnacentral:lncRNA from 1 species